UACAGAGGGUGCAAGCGUUAAUCGGAAUUACUGGGCGUAAAACGCGCGUAGGUGGUUUGUUAAGUUGGAUGUGAAAGCCCCGGGCUCAACCUGGGAACUGCAUCCAAAACUGGCAAGCUAGAGUACGGUAGAGGGUGGUGGAAUUUCCUGUGUAGCGGUGAAAUGCGUAGAUAUAGGAAGGAACACCAGUGGCGAAGGCGACCACCUGGACUGAUACUGACACUGAGGUGCGAAAGCGUGGGGAGCAAACAGG
rnacentral:rRNA from 1 species